rnacentral:rRNA from 1 species
AGUGAACGCUGGCGGCGUGCCUAAUACAUGCAAGUCGAACGAAGUGGAGCACGGGUGGGUAAUAUAUAGUUAAUCUGCCCUACACAGAGGAACAACAAUUGGAAACGACUGCGAAUACCUCAUAGUGUAGGAUGAGACUAUAUCGUAUCAGCUAGUUGGUAAGGUAAUGGCUUACCAAGGCUAUGACGCGUAACUGGUCUGAGAGGAUGAUCAGUCACAUUGGACGUGAGACACUGUCAAAAGUCGUACGGUAGGAAGCAGUAAGGAAUAGUGCGCAAUGGGGGAGACCCGGACGCAGCUGCGCCGCGUGGAGGAUGACACUUUGCGGAGCGUAAACUCCUUUUAUCAGGAAAGCGGUACCUGAUGAAUAAGCACCGGCUAACUCCGUGCCAGCAGCCGCGGUAAUAC